rnacentral:rRNA from 1 species
UACGAAGGGGGCUAGCGUUGCUCGGAAUCACUGGGCGUAAAGCGCACGUAGGCGGGUCGUUAAGUCGGGGGUGAAAUCCUGGAGCUCAACUCCAGAACUGCCUUCGAUACUGGCGAUCUUGAGUCUGGGAGAGGUGAGUGGAACUCCGAGUGUAGAGGUGAAAUUCGUAGAUAUUCGGAAGAACACCAGUGGCGAAGGCGGCUCACUGGCCCGGUAUUGACGCUGAGGUGCGAAAGCGUGGGGAGCAAACAGG